rnacentral:rRNA from 3 species
GUCAGAGGUGAAAUUCUUGGAUUUAUGAAAGAUUAACUUCUGCGAAAGCAUCUGCCAAGGAUGUUUUCAUUAAUCAAGAACGAAAGUUAGGGGAUCGAAGACGAUCAGAUACCGUCGUAGUCUUAACCAUAAACGAUGCCGACCAGCGAUUAGGAGACGUUGAAUACAAAACACCACCAUCGGUUGCGGUCGUCCUUGGCGUCUCGGUUUCGGCCGGGCCGCGGGGACGCUUUAGCCCGGUGGGACCGGUGAAUGACUCCCCUAGCAGCUUGUGAGA